UACGAAGGGGCUAGCGUUGCUCGGAAUUACUGGGCGUAAAGCGCGACGUAGGCGGUCUUUAAGUCGGGGGUGAAAUCCUGGAGCUCAACUCCAGAACUGCCUUCGAGUACUGGAAGACUCGAGUCCGGGAGAGGUGAGUGGAACUGCGAGUGUAGAGGUGAAAGUUCGUAGAUAUUCGGCAAGAACACCAGUGGCGAAGGCGGCUCACUGGCCCGGUACUGACGCUGAGGUGCGAAAGCGUGGGAGCAACAGG
rnacentral:rRNA from 1 species